AAGCGAAACCGCCCCCCUCCAUUCGGGGGUGCGGUCGUCGGGGCGUGGUUGCCCCGGCCUGAUGAGCAGCCACAA
rnacentral:hammerhead_ribozyme from 1 species